UGGGGAAUAUUGCGCAAUGGGGGAAAGCCUGACGCAGCAACGCCGCGUGAGGGAUGAAGGAUUUUGGUUGGUAAACCUCUUUCAAGUGGGAAGAAUAUUGACGGUACCACUAAAGGAAGCCCCGGCUAACUCCGUGCCAGCAGCCGCGGUAAUACGGAGGGGGCGAGCGUUGUUUGGAAUCAUUGGGCGUAAAGAGUAUGUAGGCGGCUAUUUAAGUCAGACGUGUAAGCCCACGGCUCAACCGUGGAAUUGCGUUUGAAACUAUUUAGCUUGAGUGCAGGAGAGGAAGGCGGAAUUCCCAGUGUAGCGGUGAAAUGCAUUGAUAUUGGGAAGAACACCGGUGGGGAAGGCGGCCUUCUGGUCUGACACUGACGCUGAGAUACGAAAGCCAGGGGAGCGAACGGGAUUAGAUACCCCGGUAGUCCUGGCCGUAAACGAUGGGCACUAGGUGCGGGAGGUAUUGAUCCCUUCAGUGUCGCAGCUAACGCAUUAAUUUCCGCCCUCAGUCUCUCCUGU
rnacentral:rRNA from 1 species